CGGGGCUGCGGGGGCGUUUCUAGGCAGGCUCCGCGCUCAACAGCCCCGUUGCUGGGGCAGCGGGCAUUCCCAGCCCGGCGCUGCGGCAGACAGCCCCGUUGCUACGGCUGCGGGGCCUUCCAGGCCGGACCCCGCGCGGCGCGGCCCCUGUCGCCAUGGUAACGGGCCCUUCCGGUGCGGGCGGCGCGCAGCAUGGCGGUGCCGCUGCCGAGCGCGGCGCUGUGCGGCGUCCGGAGCGGGCGGCGAUCGGCACGGCCGAGCCAAAGCCCGACAUCAGCCUGCCGCGUGAGAAGCUGCUGCGGGCAAAGGAGAUCAAGGCAAGAAAGAAGACCCCGAGGGAGACGCGCCAGAAUGCCGAGCUGGAAAGGGCAGCGUGGCUCCGGACAGCGCUGAUCCCCCUCGACGAGGUCAGAGCUGAGCGGGAGAAGAGCAGCGGCCCGUUCCACAAGCAGCGCAUGGCCGAGCACUGCGCGGUGUUUCGUGACUUGUUCCGAGGGGCCACGUUCCCCCUGGGUCACCUUGAGGGUGGCGUACAGCCAGGAAGACGAGCAUGCCGUGCCGGUCUGCUAUGGGAACAUGGUGACUCCGUCAGAGGAGGCUGAUGUUUCUGAAGGCUCUGGGGGCUCUCCGGUGGAGCUGGAUGACUUGGUGUCGCAGCCAUGCCUGGUCUGUGCUGGGUCCUGGCCGUGCCCGUGCCCGGCUUCCAGUCCUCCGGCAGCGUCAUCCAAGGCAGAUAAAGGCUCCCUGCGGACUGUGCUGCUCACAAACCCAGAAGGACGUUGAAGGGACGCGCACUCGGAGCACCCGCGCUGGCUGGAGUGAGUACCGCACGGCAGAGCCGCGCUGCUGGGCUCGGGGAAAGCCCCGGCGGAGCGCCAGAAACUCCUUCAACAGCGCCCGGGAAUAAGGAUUUGCUGAGACAGUUCUGUGGUUCUCUGGUGCUCCUGCCAGUGCUGCUUCAGGCCCAUGUUCUGGGUCCUGCUGACGAUGCAGGAGUUCAGGUGUUGCUGCUGUUUGGCUUUCAAAACGCUGAGUGUGAUGUUUUUUCCCAGUGAAAGCAGCCUCUGCUGUCUGUUUGCUUGUCAAACAGGGCGUAGGUUACGUCACAACGGAGCCCAGAGUGAUGUGUGAUCCUGGGGGAAUCUGCUGGCCCUAAGGGAGGGAAAUGAACGGAUAUAUAGUGCAGUAAACUUGUGUGUGUUCAGGACGAACAUCCCAGGCAACGACAUGCAGUCGGGUAAGGAGAUCUGCCGUCACCUGCCCCCCUUCCCCGCCAUGGGCGCUGGCUGCCAUCGCUUCAUCUUCUGCCCUUCAAGGCGGAACCGCCCAUCGACUCCAGCGAGGAUGUUGGCGCAGGCCCUGGUCACUGAGGCUGCUGCUGGGCGGUUCACGCUCUCUUGGCCAGGCUGUUCUUGCGUGUUCUGAUGACAAGGUCGUGACUGCUGGAGGAGAGCAAGUUCCUUGGAGUCUGCAGGGUUGUUCAGGGCUGCUCUGAGUUUGUGUGUCGCCUGAAGGCGCAAUCCCAGCCCUGCAAGCACUGUGCUGUCCUGUUGCUUUAAACCAGGCCGGUAAGAAAGUGGGUUUUUUCCUGCCUGGAGCAGGAAUGUGCAGAGGGCUGGGGAAGCAGGGAGAAGUUUCAAUGUGCCUUCCUUUUCCACCUCUGUUUCACAGACUCGGGGGUGCUGUGGGGAAGUAGUUGCCAGCCAGAGUGCUGCAAGAGGCAGAGGGUCAGUGAACGAGCUGUGCCCGUGGGCUCCUGCUUGGUCCCGGCACUGGUCUGGGAGCUGUUACAGCACAGACUGGGCACUUAUGGAGCCGUCGUCCCCCAAAGUAACAGCAGUCUGAGGAAACAACCUCUUAAAAGCCCAUUUUGAAUGAGUAUUUUAAAAUAACACCGAGAGCCUUCACCAGGGCUGCUCGACCAGGCCUGGUCGGUGUGGGGGCCCUUGUUAGCGGCGGGGAGGGCCUGGGGUUCGGAUCUGCGCCGUCUCGCUAUCGCUCUGUGUCACCCCUUUACAGACAGGAGAGAGCUUGUGUUUGAAUUUGUGCGCCCGCCCAUUUACCAUCCUCCCCAGGUGAAGUUCCCGCGACAGCAGCCCCUGAGGUACCCGACAGACAGCGAGACACCAAGGAGCCCACGUGCGGCAUUUCCUAGGGCCGGGCCUGCCCUCGAGGUGCUCUGCUCUGCGCUGGCGGGAAGGGCUGGGCUGAUCCUUCCCGCAUUUUGACUCUGGGGACUGUGGCCCCCGCAGGGUGGCGGGACAGGGGGACCCCACUUGUCCCCUCAGCAAUGGGACUGUGUCCCCCAACCUGUGUCCUCUCAGCCAUGUCCCUGCUUCCCCUCACUGGUGCCCCUGUCCCCUCCCUCCAUGUCUCUCAUCGCUGGCCCUGUCCCCCCAGCCUGUCCCCACAACCUCCCACGGCCCCCCCUCCAUGUCUCCCCUUCACCACAUGCCCCUGCCCCCCCAUGCCAUCCCCCUCUCACUACAUCCCUGUCCCCGCAGGUGACCCAAGGUGGGGAGGCCGCCAAACAGGUGACAGUGGCCACCGCAGCCACCAGCCAUGUCCUCCCACUGCCUGACCUCCUGCUGCUGGCGUGGCCAGUGCCACUGUCACCCCCCGACCCCGUGCACCUCUGGCCCUGGGCGGGGAGGGCAUCACAGGGAGUGCUGCGCCCCCAAAAUGGAGCCCCCAUAAUUAAUGCCCCCUAAUAAAGCACCCCAUAAUUUAACACUCCCCAAUAAAACACAGCACCUCCCAUUGAA